rnacentral:lncRNA from 1 species
UAGGGUUCACUAUGAUAAGAAAAGACACAAAUACUCCUUUAUUACAUAUACAUCAUACUAUGAACAAAAUGGCCGCUUAAAGAUAAUAUUAAGCUAAUUUAUUAUGGCUUAUUGAAUUUCAUACUCCCUUAAAACACUCCUAGCUUUGGAUGUCAAGUUAAAAUCCUUCUAUUCAAUAAGUACUUGUCAGACUAGCAUUAGAGAUGCAUAAAGGUUACUUCAUAUAUACUCAGGC